CUACAAGUCAUGCAAACAGAUUAAUAUUAAGAGGCGAAAAAAAAAAAAAACAAAAAAACCCCAGAAAAUAGAACCUUUCACCCAUCAAUUCCGAUGCAUGGGGAAUAACCUAGAAGGAUUUCAGUGAGGACAGUUACUUACAACAGCUUAGCGUUGGCGUCAGAACCUGCACUGGCUGCGAAAGUGGGAAUCCGCGUGGGAUCAGCGCCCAGACGCCGCCGCCCUAGCCCUUGCGGUGGCAAGGCUGCGUGGAAGCCCACUCCCCGGCCCCGCGCCACAUUUCCUUCUGGCGCUGGGGAACAUUGUUCCAGAAAACGUGGGCUGAAUCGCGGUGCGAAUAUUAGGGGCGGGAGGAGAAGGCCCGGCGCGCCGAGCCAGUAAUCCGAGCUCUUGAUUAUCCAGAUUCGGAUCAAACGGGGCGGCGGCGGCCGGCCCCCUCCUGGGAAUGAUUAGAUGAUUAAUGU
ensembl:lncRNA